rnacentral:rRNA from 1 species
UACAGAGGGUGCGAGCGUUAAUCGGAAUUACUGGGCGUAAAGCGUGCGUAGACGGUUUUGUAAGUCGGAUGUGAAAUCCCCGGGCUCAACCUGGGAAUUGCAUUCGAGACUGCAAGGCUUGGGUGCGGAAGAGGGAAGCGGAAUUUCCGGUGUAGCGGUGAAAUGCGUAGAUAUCGGAAGGAACAUCAGUGGCGAAAGCGGCUUCCUGGUCCAGCACCGACGUCAGGCACGAAAGCGUGGGGAGCAAACAGGGA